rnacentral:lncRNA from 1 species
ACAAGUAAUCCUCGUGUGUGACAGAGAGAGAGAGAGAGAGAGAGAGAGAGAGAGAGAGAGAAACGAGCUGGCGGAGAGGAGCAGAAGGCAGGAGGGGAAAUCUGGCACAACGGCUGGGAGAGGAAACUUGAUGCUUCUGGGCCACCAUUUGCCAGGGCCUCGCUCGAGCCGGCGCCUCGGUUCCUGCCCAGCUGGAUUUGGGGGGCAGCAUUGCCUGGCGCAGGGAGAUCAAAUGAGACUGCAAAGAAGCAUAAAAUGAAUAGACAAUCCAACCAACCAAAGGAAAUUGCUUUGGAGAUGAGGAAACAAACUCUUAUGGAGACCUAAGAGACUGAAGACAUCUGGCGUGGACUACUCUGAUGGUAAAAUUGAAAGUACACCUAAAUUUGCUUUGUUACAGGAUUCUCUUCAGAGGACAAGAGAAGAUGUUACAUUCUCUGCAUGAGGACAAUUCUGCAGCAUCAAAAUCGAAUAAUAUUUGUUUUCUGGCAGCAGAAUUUUGUAUCAUAUUUCUAAAGACAGUAAGCACUUGGGUGGACGUCAAUGAAUACUAAACACUAAUUGAUCUGAUACAGCCGUAUGCACAUACACAGAUAUACAUGGUGGCUUGUAAUGGUUGAAAAAUUACGGUUUGGUUUUAUUAAAAGAUCUGUCACUUUUAGGUCAGAGUGGGAUUUUGGAGGGAUAGUCUCCCACAAUAGAAAACUACCCUGACAACAGUGGUGUUUUGAGGUUGUUUGUUGUUUGGCUUCUUGAUGAUGCUUAGCUAAGGAGACACUUCCUUUCAGAUUCUGUCUUCCAAACCCCAGGGCUCUGUUCUGGGCAGUUCAGCCUAAUGGAAUUAAGCCUGACAUGUUUCAACUCUAUUUCUUGAUAAAAUAAACAUAAAACAAUGGUUUAGAUUUCGAAUAAAACUCUUGAAGCAUGGGGUACUCUAACUUUCCCUGUUCUUUACACAUCUGUAAAUAAAGUGCAUAAAAGAGGAACACAACAGGAUAAAUCAACAUAAAUUUGAAAUCCACUGCAGCAUAUUAAAUGGCGCAGUCUCAGUCAAAGAGAGGCUGACCCCGCGGCUUCGUGCAGUUUGAAGCUAAUUGUUUUCGUCAGGAUGGGAACGUCUGGAAGUCCAUGGCUGUAUCCCACCAGUAAGGCUCCAGUAACUGAGCCGGCCCACAGAGAAUGGGCCCACUUUGUAGCGACACAGCGGGCUCAGACACCACCUAUUCUGCUCUCCAAACUGUCAUGCAUAACAACUUUAUUGUGCUAAAUUGAACUUGAAAGCAACCAAAGGCUAUGAGAAGGAGAGGCUAUGAGAAAAGCGUGCUGUCAGCGCCGGCAAAGGCUGACCUGGAAAGUAGGCUCAGAGACAGGGGAAUAAAAGACCAGGCCCCAUGAACACAGCAUAUUGUUUCAUUUUAAAGUAUGAUUCCCAUACCAGAGAAAGUAGCAAAUGUGAUGUAAAUUUAUUUAAAUAGAUUCGACCGCUUAAAAGUUUGCCAGCCGCUCUUAUCCAACUUUCCCAGCUCUCUGAUUCGUUACUUACAGUGGGAAUAUAAUGACAUAUAGUCAUCAUUGUAACAGCUUCUUUGCAGGGGCACAAUGAUGAUUAAUAGCCAGCAGCAAAUUUUCACAUGGGCUCUGAAGCACUAUGGCAUUAAGCAGCCAAACAGUCCCAAAUCCCCCUUUUCUGUUCCGCUGAAAAGUCCCCUCCUUGUACCUUCCAGAUAGGAACAAAGCCUAUCUUAAUUCCAAUCAGCUUUUCGUCAUUCAAAGGGACCUUCUCUUUUUCAUAAUUGAUUCAUGUGCAUUUUUUAGUGUUCCACUGAGCUGAAGCCACUUUUCUCCUUUCCUCUGUUCUGUCCCCACACCCACACCCCCUUUUUUUGAGGGGGUGAGGAGUGGGAAACAUUUCAACAACAACAACAACAGUAAAAAAUGGUGUGGUAGUUUCCCCCGCAAAUAUUUGCUAAAUAGAUUUCUCAAUUAGUAUUAGCUUUACACUUAAAAGUCUUAAAACAAAAAUUAACUCCUGGACUUCUUUUUUGUUGGAAGUGGUUUUGGUUAUAAAAAUAUGAGCUUACUGAAAUAGCUCUGGUGGCAGCCCCACAAUCAUGUUCUGUUUCACUGGGAGAGUUUGAGUAGCUUUCCUUCCCACCAGAGACUCACAGCUGGAGUGAGGAUGGAGUCUCUUGCUUCAGACAGAUUCUUUUUCCUCCUCUGUGCUGGUAGCCAUCAAAAAAAGAACAAGUGACCAAAAUGAAAGGCGGCAAAUGCACACCUCCUAACCCACUCUGUCCUUCUUAAGUAUCAUUUUUCCCCAUAGUAAUCGUACAUUAUAAUUAUUAGCAGAAGCUCCUGUGCUAUUUGUGGAAGUGCUCUCUCUCGUCUAUAGUUUUCACCUCCUGUGAUAACGACACAAACGACAUCAACCAGUGCUGUCUUGGAAAAAGAUUUCCAUCCGCAAAUUCAUUUGUGUUUCUAUGACAAUAUGAUGGCCAUAGAGCACAGUUUUAGUAGAUAUACUUUGCAUAUUUGUUUACAUUCCUUACAAAUCUGACCUCAUUUUUCUAUAUGAGUAGGGUGACCACACACCCCUGUUUUCUCAGGACUAGCUGUAUUUAUGCCUAUUGUCCUUACAUAAUUAUUAACAGUACUUCCUUUCACCCUCAAAAGUAUCCUGAUUUGAACAAUUUGAAAAACUCAUGACGUUUUGCCAUUAAAAUGGCCCCAAAUGACUUACACAAACCCAAAGGGUGGGCUGUCUCCUACCCAGGUGGCUGGGGACUGCUUUAUACCAUCCCAGUUUAGGGGAAAGAAUCAAACUUGGAAACCCUGCUGCCGAUGUAGCAGCACCGACUUUUGUCUCGCCCACUUUGAAGAGGUCAGUUGACCCUAUACAGCUUCUUUGAUAUGUGACAGAAAGGAGGUCAUUUGCUGAAAUGAAAGACACAUUACAAACCAGAUUUUAAGUGUGACUCUUUCCUUCAGCUGGGUCACAGUUCUUACUUUGAGCCAGAGCAACACACUUUACUGGUCAGAUAAAAAUACUCUGCCAUAUUUUAGAAUAAUGACCUUUCUUAUGCUUUGGUGUCUCCAAAUGGUUAAAUGGAGAAUAUAUCCAAUUGACAGGAGGAAUUCUGUUCAUCAUUUUUACUCUUGUGUUUAUAUCUUCUCAU